UACGAAGGGGGCUAGCGUUGUUAGGAAUCACUGGGCGUAAAGCGCACGCAGGCGGAUCGAUAAGUCGGGGGUGAAAGUCCGGGGCUCAACCUCGGAAUUACCUUCGAUACUGUUGGUCUCGAGUCCGGGAGAGGUGAGUGGAAUUCCUAGUGUAGAGGUGAAAUUCGUAGAUAUUAGGAAGAACACCAGUGGCGAAGGCGGCUCACUGGCCCGGUACUGACGCUCAGGUGCGAAAGCGUGGGGAGCAAACAGG
rnacentral:rRNA from 1 species